AUGGCCGCGGUAUCCUGACCGUGCGAAGGUAGCAUAAUCAUUAGUCUCUUAAUUAGAGGCUGGUAUAACGGUUUAACAGAAAGUAACUGUCUCUUAUAUAAAAUUUGAACUUUAUUUUUAGGUAAAAAGCCUAAAUAAAUCUGGAGGACGAUAAGACCCUAUAGAGCUUCAUUUAUUUUAUAUUUUUUAGACCUAGUACUAAUAAAAUAAAUAAAAAAAUAAAUUUGUGGGGCGACAAAAAGACAAUAAUAACUCUUUCUUAUAUUAACAGAAAAAACUGAAAGAUUGAUCCUUAAAGAAAGAUCAUAUGAACAAGUUACCUUAGGGAUAACAGCGUAAUCCUUUUUGAGAGUUCACAUCGACAAAAGGGUUUGCGACCUGAUGUUGGAUUAAG
rnacentral:rRNA from 1 species